AACGAACGCUGGCGGCAUGCCUAACACAUGCAAGUCGAACGGGAUCCGGACUUCGGUCCGGUGAGAGUGGCGGACGGGUGAGUAACACGUGGGAACCUGCCUUUUGGUUCGGGAUAACCGCGGGAAACUGCGGCUAAUACCGGAUGCUCCCGAGAGAGAAAAGAUUUAUCGCCAGAAGAGGGGCCCGCGUCCGAUUAGGUAGUUGGUGGGGUAAUGGCCUACCAAGCCGACGAUCGGUAGCUGGUCUGAGAGGAUGAUCAGCCACACUGGGACUGAGAUACGGCCCAGACUCCUACGGGAGGCAGCAGUGGGGAAUAUUGGACAAUGGGGGGCAACCCUGAUCCAGCAAUGCCGCGUGAGUGAUGAAGGCCUUAGGGUUGUAAAGCUCUUUUGCCAGGGAAGAUGAUGACUGUACCUGGAGAAUAAGCCCCGGCUAACUUCGUGCCAGCAGCCGCGGUAAU
rnacentral:rRNA from 1 species